rnacentral:rRNA from 1 species
UACGAGUGCCCCAAGCGUUAUCCGGAAUUACUGGGCGUAAAGGGUGUGUAGGUGGUUGUGUUAGUCUCUCGUUAAAUUCUUCGGCUUAACCGGGGGCAUGCGGGGGAAACGGCACGACUAGAGGAUAUAAGGGGUCUGCGGAACUCAUGGAGUAGGGGUGAAAUCCGUUGAUAUCAUGGGGAACACCAAAAGCGAAGGCAGCAGACUGGUAUAUUCCUGACACUGAAACACGAAAGCGUAGGUAGCGAAUGGG